rnacentral:rRNA from 1 species
AACGAACGCUGGCGGCAUGCCUAACACAUGCAAGUCGAACGAGACCUUCGGGUCUAGUGGCGCACGGGUGCGUAACGCGUGGGAAUCUGCCCUUGGGUUCGGAAUAACAGUUGGAAACGACUGCUAAUACCGGAUGAUGACGUAAGUCCAAAGAUUUAUCGCCCAAGGAUGAGCCCGCGUAGGAUUAGCUAGUUGGUGAGGUAAAGGCUCACCAAGGCGACGAUCCUUAGCUGGUCUGAGAGGAUGAUCAGCCACACUGGGACUGAGACACGGCCCAGACUCUGCCGGGAGGGGGGAGGGGGGAAUAUUGGAAAGGGGGGGAAGGCUUGAAACAGCACGGCCGGGUGAGUGAUGAGGCCCUGGGGGUAGAAAAGUUUUUUUACCGGGGAAAAUAAGGACAGUACCGGAAAAAAAAGCCCCGGCUAACUCCGUG